rnacentral:rRNA from 1 species
GAUGAACGCUGGCGGCGUGCCUAAUACAUGCAAGUCGAGCGAACGGACGAGAAGCUUGCUUCUCUGAUGUUAGCGGCGGACGGGUGAGUAACACGUGGAUAACCUACCUAUAAGACUGGGAUAACUUCGGGAAACCGUAGCUAAUACCGGAUAAUAUUUUGAACCGCAUGGUUCAAAAGUGAAAGACGGUCUUGCUGUCACUUAUAGAUGGAUCCGCGCUGCAUUAGCUAGUUGGUAAGGUAACGGCUUACCAAGGCAACGAUGCAUAGCCGACCUGAGAGGGUGAUCGGCCACACUGGAACUGAGACACGGUCCAGACUCCUACGGGAGGCAGCAGUAGGGAAUCUUCCGCAAAGGGCGAAAGCCUGACGGAGCAACGCCGCGUGAGUGAUGAAGGUCUUCGGAUCAUAAAACUCUGUUAUUAGGGAAGAACAUAUGUGUAAGUAACUGUGCACAUCUUGACGGUACCUAAUCAGAAAGCCACGGCUAACUACGUG